GGGCGGCGAGGCGAGGCCUGCGGAGCGGAGGAAGACAAACAUAAAGAUGAAGUGCUUAAUUCAAGGUCACACAAUGUCGGGGAUGGACCUCCAGAUUUCCUUACUGGUGAGACGUGGUCUUGUAACACAGUGGUUAAGAAUGUGACUUUGGAGCCAGCCUGCUAGGGGCUGAAUUCUGACUCAGCCAUUUACUAACUGUGUGACCUUAGGUGGAGUCUCACUCUGUAGCCCAAGCUGGAGUGGCGUGAUCUCGACUCACUGCAACCUCCGCCUCCUGGGAUCAAGUGAUUCUCGUGCCUCAGCCUCCUGAGUAGCCGGGACUACAGUUGUCCCUUGGUGUGGGAUUGCUUCCAGUACCUCUGUGUGUAACAAAAGCUGCACCAUUCAAGUCCCACAGUUGCCCUGCGAAACCUCUGUAUAUGAAAAGUUGGCCCUCCAUGUACAUGGGUUUCCCAUCCUGUGAGUACUGUAUUUUUGAUCCUCAUUUGGUUGGAAAAAAUCUGCAUAUAAGUGGACCUGUGCAGUUCAAACCCGUGUUGUUCAAGGGUCAGCUGUAUAUUUACAGUUGUUAUAUUGUCUUGAUAAAUUGAUCCUCUGUCAUUAUGUAAUGAUGUUCUUUGUCUUGUUUUACAGUUUUUACUUAGUCUGUUUUAAGUAUAGCUACCCCUGCUCUCUUUGGUUUCCAUUUGCCUGAAAUGUCUUUUUCUAGCCUUUCACUUUCAUUCUAUGUGUGUUCUUAAAUGUGAAGUUAAUCUUCAUAGGCCACAUAUAGUUGGGUCUGUUUUUAAAUUUUUGAUAGUAUCCAACCUAAUGGGUGUGAGGUGAUAAUUCUUUGUGGUUUUGAUUUGCAUUUCUCUAAUGAUUAGUGAUGUUGAGCAUCUUUACAUAUGAUUGUUGGCCAUUUGUGUCCCUUCUUUGGAGACUAUUCAAAGUCCUUUACCCAUUUUAAAAAUGAAGGCAUUUGCCCUUUGUUGUUGAGUUGUAGGAAUUUUAAAAAUAUAUUCUGGAUAGUAAAUCCUUUUCAGAUAUAAGAUUUGCAAAUGUUUUUUCCCAUUCUGUGGGUUGUCUUUUCACUCUUUUUCUUUUUCUUUUUUUUUUUUUUUUUUUUUUGAGACAAGGUCUUGCUCUAUUAUCACUGGAGUACAAUGGCGUGAAUGUGGCUCACUGCAGUCUCGACCUUCCUGGCUCAAGGGAUGCUCCCACCUCAGCCUCCCAAAUAGCUGGGACUAUAGACACAUGUCACCACAUCUGGCUAAUUUUUUAUUUUUUGUAGAGAUGAGAUUUCACCAUAUUACCCAGGCUGUUCUUGAACUCCUAGGCUCAAGUGAUUUGUCUGCCUCAGCCUCCCAAAGUGUUAGGAUUACAGGUGUGAGCCACUGCACCCGGCUGCCUUUUCACUCCUAAUUGUAUCCUCUGUUGCACAGAAAUUUUUAAGUUUGAUGUAGUCCCAUAUGUCUCCUUUUUUUUCCCCAUGCUUUUUAUGAUUUCUAGCAUCUUUUUGUGGGCUUAUUGUGCUUGUAUAUCUUCUUUGGAGAAAUGUCUGUUCAAUUCCUUUGCCCUUUUUUGAAUGGGGUUGUUUGGUUUUUCUGUUGUGGAAUAUUUAAAUUUCUCUAUGUAUCCUCAAUGUUAAGCCAUACUAGAGAUAUGCUUUUCAAAUAUUUUCCCCCAUUCUGUGCAUCACCUUUUUUACUCUGCUGAAAGUGCUGUUUGAUGCAAAAAAGUGUUUAAUUUUCAUGAGGUCCAAUAUAUCUAUUUUUUCUUUUGUUGCCUGUGCCUUGGGUGUUAUAUUCAAGAAAUCAUUGACAAAUCCAAUGAUAUGCUCUUCUACACUCUUAAAAAUUAUAGACAACCCCAAAUAACUUUUAUUUAGUGGUUUUAACAAUAUUUACCAUGUCUGAAAUAUGAUAAACAUUAAAAUUAGUAUUUUGGAAAAAUGCCAUAUUAGAAACUGAUGAUUUAAAAGUAACAACAAUGAAUCCAUUACAUGUGAACAUACUGUUUUUUUGUUUGUUUGUUUGUUUGUUUUGAGACGGAGUUUCACUCUUUUGCCCAGGCUGGAGUGCAGUGGUGCGAUUGCAGCUCACUGUAGUCUUCGCCUCCCAGGCUCAAGUGAUUCUCAUGCCUCAGCCUCCUGAGUAGCUGGGAUUACAGGUGCUCACCACCACACCCGGCUAAUUUUUGUAGAGAUGGGGUUUCACCGUAUUGGCCAGGCUGGUCUUGAACUCCAGACUUCAAGUGAUCCACCCACCUUGGCCUCCCAAAGUGCUGGGAUUACGGGCAUGAGCCACUGCACCAGGCCAACAUACUUUUUAUAAAAACAGCUGUCUUCUCUAAAACAACAAAAAAAUGUAGAUAAUAGUAGUAUCAUUUUAUAGUUUUGCAACUCUCUUUAAUGUUUGGCUUAAUAGAAGAUAGUUGGAUUCUCGUAUCUGUUUUUGUAUUCAGUCUGUUGUGUAUGUUGUUUUGAUUGAAGUAGAUGAAGGAAAUCCAGCUACAUACAGAUUUGGAGUUGGAAAAAAUAGUAUUUUAAUAACCUUUUUAGAUCAUGGUGGAUACUCUUCUUUGUUAUGUCAUCAAAAUUAGACAAAUGGCAGUUUCUGAAAAAUUAGUUGUAAUGUGUGUAAAAAAUUAGUUGAAUCCAUAUCAGUGAACUCAUAC
ensembl:lncRNA PCBP1-AS1 PCBP1 antisense RNA 1